rnacentral:rRNA from 1 species
AGAGUUUGAUCCUGGCUCAGAACGAACGCUGGCGGUAUGCCUAACACAUGCAAGUCGAACGCGAACGGGAUCUUCGGAUUCCAAGUAGAGUGGCGCACGGGUGAGUAACACGUGGAUAAUCUGCCCUAAGGUCAGGGAUAACACUUCGAAAGGGGUGCUAAUACCGGAUAAGCUCACGCCUUCUUUGGAAGAAGUGAGAAAAGAUUUAUUGCCUUAGGAUGAGUCCGCGGUCCAUUAGCUAGUUGGUGGGGUAAUGGCCUACCAAGGCUGCGAUGGAUAGCUGGUCUGAGAGGAUGAUCAGCCACACUGGAACUGAGACACGGUCCAGACUCCUACGGGAGGCAGCAGUGGGGAAUUUUGCGCAAUGGGGGAAACCCUGACGCAGCAAUACCGCGUGAAGGAUGAAGGCCCUUGGGUCGUAAACUUCUGUCAGAGGGGAAGAAAUACUCGCAAGAGUGCUGACGGUACCCUCAAAGGAAGCACCGGCUAACUCCGUGCCAGCAGCCGCGGUAAUACGGAGGGUGCAAGCGUUGUGCGGAAUUAUUGGGCGUAAAGAGCAUGUAGGCGGUCUGUUAAGUCUGGUGUGAAAGCCCGGGGCUCAACCCCGGAAGUGCAUUGGAUACUGGCAGACUUGAGUAUGGGAGAGGGAAGUGGA